UACGUAGGGUGCGAGCGUUGUCCGGAAUUAUUGGGCGUAAAGAGCUUGUAGGCGGUCUGUCGCGUCUGCUGUGAAAACUCGAGGCUCAACCUCGAGACGCCGAUGGAAACCGUCUGGCUAGAGUCCGGAAGAGGAGAGUGGAAUUCCUGGUGUAGCGGUGGAAUGCGCAGAUAUCAGGAGGAACACCAAUAGCGAAGGCAGCUCGCUGGGACGGUACUGACGCUGAGGCGCGAAAGCGUGGGGAGCAAACAGG
rnacentral:rRNA from 1 species